AUUGAACGCUGGCGGCAUGCCUUACACAUGCAAGUCGAACGGCAGCGGGACCUUCGGGUGCCGGCGAGUGGCGAACGGGUGAGUAAUAUAUCGGAACGUACCUUUCAGUGGGGGAUAACGUAGCGAAAGUUACGCUAAUACCGCAUAUUCUGUGAGCAGGAAAGCAGGGGGAUCGCAAGACCUUGCGCUGAUUGAGCGGCCGAUAUCAGAUUAGCUAGUUGGUGAGGUAAAGGCUCACCAAGGCGACGAUCUGUAGCGGGUCUGAGAGGAUGAUCCGCCACACUGGAACUGAGACACGGUCCAGACUCCUACGGGAGGCAGCAGUGGGGAAUUUUGGACAAUGGGCGCAAGCCUGAUCCAGCCAUGCCGCGUGAGUGAAGAAGGCCUCGGUUGUAAG
rnacentral:rRNA from 1 species